UACGUAGGGUGCGAGCGUUGUCCGGAAUUAUUGGGCGUAAAGAGCUUGUAGGCGGUUUGUCGCGUCUGCCGUGAAAAUUCGAGGCUCAACCUCGAACUUGCGGUGGGUACGGGCAGACUAGAGUGUGGUAGGGGAGACUGGAAUUCCUGGUGUAGCGGUGAAAUGCGCAGAUAUCAGGAGGAACACCGAUGGCGAAGGCAGGUCUCUGGGCCACUACUGACGCUGAGAAGCGAAAAGUAUGGGGGAGCAAACAGG
rnacentral:rRNA from 1 species